rnacentral:rRNA from 1 species
GUCCACGCCGUAAACGAUGGGUACUAGAUGUUGCAGGAAUUGACCCCUGCAGUGUCGUAGCUAACGCAUUAAGUACCCCGCCUGGGAAGUACGGUCGCAAGAUUAAAACUCAAAGGAAUUGACGGGGCCCGCACAAGCGGUGGAGCAUGUGGUUUAAUUCGAUGCAACGCGAAGAACCUUACCUAGAUUUGACAUCCACUGACAUCCGUAGAAGUACGGCUUUCCCUUCGGGGACAGUGAGACAGGUGCUGCAUGGCUGUCGU